rnacentral:rRNA from 1 species
UACGUAGGGGCAAGCGUUGUUCGGAAUUACUGGGCGUAAAGGGCUCGUAGGCGGCCAACUAAGUCAGACGUGAAAUCCCUCGGCUUAACCGGGGAACUGCGUCUGAUACUGGUUGGCUUGAAUCCGGGAGAGGGAUGUGGAAUUCCAGGUGUAGCGGUGAAAUGCGUAGAUAUCUGGAGGAACACCGGUGGCGAAGGCGGCAUCCUGGACCGGUAUUGACGCUGAGGAGCGAAAGCCAGGGGAGCAAAGCGGG